AUGCCGCCACGGCGCUCUACACGCUCUGCAGCGGUGCGCGCGAGAACCGCCUACGUGUGCCCCUUGCUGGACCUGGAGUCCGGCAUGGUCGACAAGGCCGCCUACGUGCUCCACUCCCUGAUGGGCUUCGCCGAGGGCCGCUCCGCCACCGUGGAGGAGGGCGACAUCCCCGUCCUGGUGGAGAUGGUGGAGGUCGGGACCUCGCAGCAGAAGGAGAUCACCACGCUCUCCCUCCUCCAGAUUUACGACGACAACGCGGCAUACCGCACCAUGGUUGCCCGCGAGGGCGCCAUCCCUCCCCUCGUCGCCCUCUCCCAGUCCUCCUCUGCGCGCCCCUAG
rnacentral:rRNA from 1 species